rnacentral:lncRNA from 1 species
CUUUAACCAAAAGCAUUUGAAGCUAAACAUCCUUUUGCAGUGGCUUCUGCCUGCAAAAACACACAGUCUUCUUUCACAGUUUCACCAUGCAGACAAUUAAGAAAGAAAACAAAUGCUGGAAAUUCUUCACAUGGAAGGAGAUAAGUUUUAACACUAUGUCACAAUGGCUGUUACUCUAAGUCUGCUGCUCAACUCUUGUUGAUGUAGAUGUAACACUUUAAAGCAUAUCAUUUCACCAGCAGGUGUCUCUAUCGGUUAGCAAGAUUUUUUUUUCAGAGUAGUAGCUUUACCAGUAGAUGAAAAUUUGGGGCCUAGAAAUGCUAAUGAUCAGAUACAGUAGCUCACAGACAAGAACUCAGAUCCAAACUCAAUAGUACAACCCCAAGAGUGUGGAUUAUGCUUUGAAUGUAGUAAUGACAAAGCUUUCUAACAUUUAAAGAUGUGUUGUAGAUUAAAUGCUUAUUUCUUUCAGUUAGUGUCUACCCAGUUUCCUUCACUGAAUGUGCAGAAGAGAAGAAAACAAUGCCUUCACCAGUCCCAGGAGUUCACACAUUUUAUUCAGCAGACAUUUCCGAGAACCUAUUUUGUGAACAUACAGUCUACCUUGGGUUAAAUGUCAUCUUUAUGACCAUAAUUACUUCAUAUGUGCUGCAUAACCAGACCAGAAUAAUACUACUGAGCUCAAAGAAAGAGCUCAAAUUAUAAGUCUUAGAUCGAAUGGACUGGAAACAGGAAGUGUUGAGAUUUAUGGAUUCCAAAGCUGGAAGAAAUUCAAGAUGUCUACCAUUCAAUGAGUUGUCUGUCAUUGAAUCCUUCUACAAUACUCUUUCCUGGUAGUUAGGAUUAUUCGUUUGAUCACCUCAAUAAAGGAAAUACCAUUAAAUCUUGUGUCUGUCCA